GUAGUUUGCAUUUACUUUUACUUUUUUUAUUCAUUUUUAAUUUCUCUUUCUCUCUCUUAGAAUGACAUGAAAGUAUAUCAGUGUGUUGUUCUCUCCCUUCUUAUCUCUUUCACUCUCUUAAAAAUCAAAUGGAGAGCUCCUAAAAAUUGGUUUACCUAAAGGAAAAUAUAUGAUGGAGCUCAUCUUGGAAUAAUUUUUGUUUCAAUUUUUGAGAUUUCUUCACAGUUCUUCGCAACUCAAGAUAUGAGCCAAGUCUUUUCCAUUUUGCCUUAUCGAUUCGAUCAAGCGAUUUUGGUUCUUCAACUCUACAUUUUCACUUAUAUUUGCUUAAGCUUUCAAAUUCAGUGAUAGGAGUUUCCUUCUUGCUCAAGGUUUGAAGAGUACUGAAAAUUGAUUUGUUUGCAUCUCUGAUAUGGGAGAUGAGCAGCCAGGAGUUGCAAAGAAAAGCAGCUGUAAUUUUGCCGAAAAACCUACAUAAUCUUUGACUAUUGAAGAGAAUAAUCAUGCAUAGAUGAAACUUCCAACAUUGAAGCGUGAAGAUAAUGGUUUUCAUCCUGCUAAGUUAUGUGAACAGAAUGCUUUGGGUAUGAAUAAUAUAAUGAAAGUGGUUCUUUUGAGACAGAUUCUGCGGAAGAUACUAAUGACGAGUUGGCCACAAUCUCAGGUUUCUCCCUUUUCACUCUUGUACAAGCCACCUUACAUGUAGAUGCCGAAACAUAAAUUAGGAGAGAGAAGGUUCAAGUUUUAGUCUGUGAAUAUACUCCAGUGAUCUUUUAAAAAAUAUUUAUAUAUGUAGAAAUAUAACAAUCUUUUUAUUGUUAAAACAAUGAAUUGAUGCAUGUGAUCUUUUUAUAGCCA